rnacentral:tRNA from 1 species
GCGGGCGUAGCUUAAUAGUAGAGCUCCCGCCUUCCAAGCUGGUUACGAGGGUUCGAUUCCCUUCGCCCGCU